rnacentral:rRNA from 1 species
GAUGAACGCUGGCGGCGUGCUUAACACAUGCAAGUCGAACGGAAAGGCGCCAACUUUCUGGCGUACUCGAUUGGCGAACGGGUGAGUAACACGUGUGUAAUCUGCCCUGCACUCUGUGAUAAGCCUUGGAAACUGGGUCUAAUACUGGGUAUGACCUUUCUCCUUAUGGGGUUUGGUGGAAAGUUUUUCGGUUUAUGAUGAUCCGGAAGCGUAUCGGCUUGUUUGUGGUGUUAGGUCCUACCAAGGCGACGACGGGUAGCCGGCCUGAGAGGGUGGUCGGGCACAUUGGGACUGCGGUACGGAGCAGAAGCGUACCGGCGGCAGUAGUGGGGAACCUUGCAGAACGGCGGGACGCGUGAUGCAGAGACGCCGGGUGCGUGAUGACGUGUUUCGGGUUGUAAACAUAUUUCAGAAGGGACGAAGCGUACGUGACGGUACCUGAAGAAGAAGCCACGGCUAACUACGUG